GGGAUCCGAUUUUAGCAUGGAAUAAUAAAAUAGGACGUGUGGUUCUAUUUUGUUGGUUUCUAAGACCGAAGUAAUGAUUAAUAGGGUCAGUUGGGGACAUUAGUAUUUAUUCGUCAGAGGUGAAAUUCUUGGAUUUAUUGAAGACUAACUACUGCGAAAGCAUUUGCCAAGGAUGUUUUCAUUAAUCAGGAACGAAAGUUAGGGGAUCGAAGACGAUCAGAUACCGUCGUAGUCUUAACCAUAAACUAUGCCGACUAGGGAUCGGACGAUGUUAAAAAUUGACUCGUUCGGCACCUUACGAGAAAUCAAAGUGCUUGGGCUCCAGGGGGAGUAUGGUCGCAAGGCUGAAACUUAAAGAAAUUGACGGAAGGGCACCACCAGGGGUGGAGCUUCGGCUCAAUUUGACUCAACACGGGGAAACUCACCAGGUCCAGAAAUCUAGA
rnacentral:rRNA from 1 species